rnacentral:rRNA from 1 species
ACUCAAAGGAAUAGACGGGGGCUCACACAAGCGGUGGAGCAUGUUGUUUAAUUCGAAGCAACGCGAAGAACCUUACCUGGGUUUGAAAUGCAGGGAUUAUUCCUAUGAAAGUAGGAGGAUUGCUAGCAAUAGUGUAACCUGCACAGGUGCUGCAUGGCUGUCGUCAGCUCGUGCCGUGAGGCGUCGGGUUAAGUCCCUUAACGAGCGAAACCCCUAUCGUAUGUUGCUACCAGGUUAUGCUGGGCACUCUUGCGAGACUGCCGGUGUCAAACCGGAGGAAGGCGGGGACGACGUCAAGUCAUCAUGGUCCUUACAUCCAGGGCUACAAACGUGCUACAAUGGCCGGUACAGAGAGACGCAAUACCGUGAGGUGGAGCAAAUCUUCAAAGCCGGCCCCAGUUCAGAUUGAAGGCUGCAAUUCGCCUUCAUGAAGUUGGAAUCGCUAGUAAUCGCGGAUCAGCCACGCCGCGGUGAAUCCGUUCCUGAGCCUUGCACACACCGCCCGU